CUACGGGAGGCAGCAGUGGGGAAUCUUAGACAAUGGGGGAAACCCUGAUCUAGCCAUGCCGCGUGAGUGAUGAAGGCCCUAGGGUCGUAAAGCUCUUUCGCCAGGGAUGAUAAUGACAGUACCUGGUAAAGAAACCCCGGCUAACUCCGUGCCAGCAGCCGCGGUAAUACGGAGGGGGUUAGCGUUGUUCGGAAUUACUGGGCGUAAAGCGCGCGUAGGCGGAUUAGAAAGUUGGGGGUGAAAUCCCGGGGCUCAACCCCGGAACUGCCUCCAAAACUACUAGUCUAGAGUUCGAGAGAGGUGAGUGGAAUUCCGAGUGUAGAGGUGAAAUUCGUAGAUAUUCGGAGGAACACCAGUGGCGAAGGCGGCUCACUGGCUCGAUACUGACGCUGAGGUGCGAAAGUGUGGGGAGCAAACAGGAUUAGAUACCCUGGUAGUCCACACCGUAAACGAUGAAUGCCAGUCGUCGGAGCGCUUGCGCUUCGGUGACACACCUAACGGAUUAAGCAUUCCGCCUGGGGAGUACGGUCGCAAGAUUAAAACUCAAAGGAAUUGACGGA
rnacentral:rRNA from 1 species